rnacentral:rRNA from 1 species
CAGUAGCCGCGGGAAUACGAAGGGGGCUAGCGUUGUUCGGAAUUACUGGGCGUAAAGCGCACGUAGGCGGAUCGAUCAGUCAGGGGUGAAAUCCCGCAGCUCAACUGCGGAACUGCCUUUGAUACUGUCGGUCUAGAGUAUGGAAGAGGUGAGUGGAAUUCCGAGUGUAGAGGUGAAAUUCGUAGAUAUUCGGAGGAACACCAGUGGCGAAGGCGGCUCACUGGUCCAUUACUGACGCUGAGGUGCGAAAGCGUGGGGAGCAAACAGGAUUAGAUACCCCGGUAGUCCCUGUCUCUUAUAA